CUGCUUUGCUGACGAGUGGCGGACGGGUGAGUAAUGUCUGGGAAACUGCCUGAUGGAGGGGGAUAACUACUGGAAACGGUAGCUAAUACCGCAUAACGUCGCAAGACCAAAGAGGGGGACCUUCGGGCCUCUUGCCAUCGGAUGUGCCCAGAUGGGAUUAGCUAGUAGGUGGGGUAACGGCUCACCUAGGCGACGAUCCCUAGCUGGUCUGAGAGGAUGACCAGCCACACUGGAACUGAGACACGGUCCAGACUCCUACGGGAGGCAGCAGUGGGGAAUAUUGCACAAUGGGCGCAAGCCUGAUGCAGCCAUGCCGCGUGUAUGAAGAAGGCCUUCGGGUUGUAAAGUACUUUCAGCGGGGAGGAAGGCGAUAAGGUUGAUAACCUUGUCGAUUGACGUUACCCGCAGAAGAAGCACCGGCUAACUCCGUGCCAGCAGCCGCGGUAAUACGGAGGGUGCAAGCGUUAAUCGGAAUUACUGGGCGUAAAGCGCACGCAGGCGGUCUGUCAAGUCGGAUGUGAAAUCCCCGGGCUCAACCUGGGAACUGCAUUCGAAACUGGCAGGCUAGAGUCUUGUAGAGGGGGGUAGAAUUCCAGGUGUAGCGGUGAAAUGCGUAGAGAUCUGGAGGAAUACCGGUGGCGAAGGCGGCCCCCUGGACAAAGACUGACGCUCAGGUGCGAAAGCGUGGGGAGCAAACGGGAUUAGAUACCCUGGUAGUCCACGCCGUAAACGAUGUCGACUUGGAGGUUGUGCCCUUGAGGCGUGGCUUCCGGAGCUAACGCGUUAAGUCGACCGCCUGGG
rnacentral:rRNA from 1 species